UGAAUCAAACCUCAAGGUGCGCACCAAUUUCCACGCAGACACCGUGCGGGACACUUGGCAAUUGUAGUCUCUUAUGGUCAAUCUUCCAAUGAUAUGCCUACAAAUACGUCACAAUGCUGCAGACACCUUGGGGAAACGAUAGAAAGUGUCCGUUCAUUCCUGUUGCAUUCACAGCCAUAUAAGGCGAUCAUGGAAAACGUAGCUUCAGAAAUCCUGUUCAUUUCCUGGGCGCUCAAACAUCUUGGUUUUGCCUGAAGCUUUUGUUCAACGGCACUCACAGUGAAAAUCUUUGCAGUUCUGGAAACGUCAGUGUCUUCUUUCCAAAACUAUCAAUCCAAGCAUAGUCGAGCAUCUUUUCGUGACAAAAUAUUGCGCUUAAAACGGGCACGUAUUUUUAUCCAAAAAUGAAAUAAUGCCCCUAGUGGACUAACAGGUUAACAAGUCACAUAAUAAGUUGCAUGAACUCACGCUGUGUGCAAUAAGAGUGUUUAACAUGACUUUUGAAUGACUACCUCAUCUCUGUAUCCCACACAUACAAUUAUCUGUAGGGUCCCUCAGUCGAGCAGGGAAUUUCAAACACAGAUUCAACCACAAAGACCAGGGAGGUUUUCCAAUGCAAAAAAAGGCACCUGUUGGUAGAUGGGUAAAAAUAAAAAGAAGCGGAUAAUGAAUAUCCCUUUGACCAUUGUGAAGUUAUUAAUUACAUGCACCCAGUCACUACAAAGAUACAGGUGUCCUUCCUGACUCAGUUGCAGCAGAGGUAGGAAACCACUGAACGAUUUCACCACGAGGCCAAUGGUAAAUUUAAAUAGUUACAUAUUUUAAUGGAUGUGAUAGGAGGAAACUGAGGAUGAAUCAACAAUAUUGCAGGUCCUCCACAAUACUAACCUAAUUGACAGAGUGAAAAGCAAGAAGCCUGUACAGCAAUUACAUUAUUGUCCUGAACACAAAGUGUUAUGUUUGGGGAAAAUCCAAUACAACACAUUACCAAGUACCAAGCUCCAUAUUUUAAAGUUGUGGCUGCAUCAUGCUAUGGGUAUGCUUGUAAACAUUAAGGACUGGUGAGUUUUUCACAGGCAAAAUCCUAGAGGUAAACCCGGUUCCGUCUGCUUUCCACCAGACACUGGGAGAUGAAUUCACAUUUCAGCAGAACAAUAAGCAAGGCCUGGAGUUGCUUACCAAGAAGACAGUGAAUAUUCCUGAGUGGCUGAGUUACAGUUUUGACUUAAAUCUACUUGAAAAUGUAAGACAAAACCUUAAAAUGGUUGUCUAGCAAUGAUCAUCAAUCAGUUUGACAGAGUUCAAAAAUAAUAAUGGGCAAAUGUUGCACAAUCCAGGUGUGGAAAACACUCAGAGACUUACCCAGAAAGACUCACAGGUGUAAUCGCUGCCAGAGGUGAUUCUAUAAAGUAUAGACUCAGGGGUGUGAAUAUUUAUGUAAAAUAAACAUUUCUGUGUUUAAUUUUCUUUAAAUUUGCAAUAAAAAUGUAAAAACAUGUUUUCACUUUGUCAUUAUGGGGUAUUGUGUGUAGAUGAGUGAAAUAAACAAAUAUUGAAUACAUUUUUUUAGAUUCAGGCAAUAACACAACAAAAUGUGGAAUAAGUAUGAAUACUUUCUGAAGGAAAUUGAAGCCUAGCCUGAAUCCGACUAGAAGUUCAAUACAUUCUCUCUCUAAUCGGAACGCGGCUCGGCAAUGAUCAGGACAACGCGGAGUCGACGAGACAUAUGGCUCGGGAAACGUCGCUCAAUCCAGUGAUGGGAUACUGCGGUGUACUCCUAAUUAUCCCAACGGACACAUCUAGAAUAUUUAAAUACUGCUAGUUUUUAAUGACUAGUAUUUUCGUCAGCAUGUUACAGCGAAUGCUAUAGCAGCCCAUUGGAUUCUAGCGUUGGGGAAAUCACAAAAAUGUUUUCUUCUGCAUCAUGUUUAAAUGGGAGCUUUAAAUGGGAGAUUUGCUGCUAUCCUCAGACUGCACCCCAACAAGCUGCAGGUCCUCGGUGACUGCUGGUCCGCAUUGAAGCCCUCUCUCAUGACCAAGCACAUUGGGGUGUGGAAGAAGGCCCUGUCUGUGAUUUUGACAAGGAAACAUAUUCUACGCACCUGUGACCCAAGGAUCAAACACCACACAAUUUUCCCCCCGAUGUUCACAACAUGGACAGCUAUUUAUUUAUGAUACACAUUGAAUUGCACAUUUCCAUUCAGUGCGCAAUUAAUGAAGUAGCUGUCUAACCCCGGGGUCUCAAGCGAAGCUGGGCGCCAUUUCACAGGAACAACUGCCUUAUAGUCGCACGCAGCUAGCUGUUAGGAUGUUACUCCAUCUCCUCUUUUCCGUGGAUGGAUUCCAAUAGCUUCUUGAGAGCUUUAGGCUCUGUGGCCGCUCACAGCCUUGAUCUCUCUGGCCUCCAGACCUGCAUCAGAGAGCUGCUGGAUGUUAGUCGUCUUGAUGCAGUGGUUGGUAAUUGUUAGGGUUGUGUAAAUUCAAAUCUGGUAUCAGGAUAAAUAUAACAAUGAGUCACCGAUUUUAUACUAUGUAUUUUUUAUUAGCUAGGUAAUAAAUGGCAAAUGCAACUUUCGUAUA